UGCCAAUCUUCCUCUAUUUUGUAUGUAGGAUGCUGCCACAGCAGGACUUGAUGAGCAGUGUGUAGGUCCCCACCUGGGAUCCGAAUCCGUGACCCCCGGGGCUCCUGAAACGGAAUGAGCAAACUUAACUACUACACCACUGGGCCAGCCCCCCCCCCCCCCCGACACUUCUUGGACUGUGGCUGCACGCAGAGCAUUCUUCUAGUUUCCUGACACCUUCGGCCACCCUGCUGAAAUUCCAAGAAGCCGACUCUGCAUUUCUAGGUGACCGGGUCCAGCGGGGCCAGGCUGGCCCACCCACCCAGCCUCUGGUGCUGCUUCCCCUUUGGUUUCACCGGCUGAGGGGCCAGGAUGACACAGGUGCCAGGGACACCAACCACAUCUGAAAGACUUUCUUAACCAGCCUUCAAGUGCCUGGGUCGUGACCCCCUCAGCAGGAGAAGAUCUUGCUCCCCACCCACCAGGAACCACAGACCCCUCAGUCUCACAAAUGGCAGUUUGUCCUUCUGUCCAUCAAGGCCUGGCGUUGUCUGCCUCCUGGGAACCUCAGCAUCCUCCCGGAGGAGAUGUCACUACAUACCCAGCCCCACUGCCUCUCUUCCAAAGAACGAAAAGAGGAGAAAUCGAAAACAUAAUUCUGUAGCUGCAGGAAGAUCAGAGCAAAGAGAAAAAGAAGCAUCAGCAGACUUCCUCAACAGGAGCAUUUCGAGGCGAAGGAACAGAACACCAUGUCAACAGCAUCUCAGAGUGACCGUUUCUGGCGCUUGUUAGCACUGCCUUCAGAAACCGAGCGACUUUCAACUUUGGGUACAGACGGUAAAGAGCCGAAGUACUCACUACUCAAAGGGAUGGAGAAAUGUUAAGUCUUGUAUAAAUGCCAUACAAUUAAUUUCCAAUGGUGUAGAUAUUAAGUAAAAGUCUGUGAAUAUGUUAAUGAGGC
rnacentral:lncRNA from 1 species